rnacentral:lncRNA from 1 species
UUUUUUAUAUAACGUACUUUUAUUUCUUUUUAGAACAGCAUAUCUUUUCUUAGGAGAGGUUGUUGUCUUUACACACUUGCCUGCAUGCAGUUUUUGGACUCUCACCAUCACUAAAGGCCAGAAGAGGCACCAAAGGCUGCUCAAACUCGCCUAAGUGGACCUGAUGCACAAAGGGUACCGUUGGGCUAGGCAGAGGGAGUUCUAGCCUGCUCCACCUCCUUGCUGGCUGAUGUUUCCUGGAAAGAGCAAAGUAGCCUGUACAUCACUCCCCUGUAGGAGCAACUAAAUUGGAUCUCUUAAGAGGUGUCUUAACACAGUGUAUAUACAAGGUAUGUGCAGAACCAUAUUUUCCAAACAGGAAUCAUUAUAGGAAUAAGAAUCAGGUGCCAAACGUUGUCUAACCCGCUCUCUGUGGUUCACUUUGUGCUCUGCUUCUCAGUGCUGAUGGUGUGGCCCCAAAAAAUCUGCACAGUCGACAGAGCUGCUGAGGACCACGUGAAAGUGAGCCUGAGGGGACAGAGGAUCACAUCCCACAGGAGGGAGUUGCUUUGAUUUCCCUCUGAAGCAACAUGGGCACGCACAACUGGUGAGCAGCAGGGCAAACCACAGGACUGGAUACUGGUUGCCAAGCCUUUGCCUCCUCAGUGCAGGUUGGUGAGUGGGAUGAACAAGAUGGGAGGCUCAGCUGAAGGAUAAACAUCCUCUUGCUUUCACCACAGGACACCACAUCCAAAAUAUGUCUGAAAAAUGCCUUCCCUAUCUUCCUCCUUAUUUCUCCCCAUUUUUACUACUGGUAACUAGAUAAGGUUAUGCCAAACAUCCCUGCUAAAUGGAAUCUCUGCCUUUAUUUUCCUGCCUUCCUUCCCUCUUCUGGAAGAAAAAAAAAAGGCAAAAAAAGAAACCCUUCCAAACCAGAGUAUUUAAAAAGCCUUAUUACUAUAAAAUGAAGCACAGAGUAGGACAAAGAAUUGUAGAAAAUGCACUUUGAAGAUAUAAUGAAUGUUUAAUGAAAUUAUGAGAAGCUUAUGGAUGCUCAAGUGCUGGAGCUCUGUGGUUGGCUAUGAUAUCCCAGAAAGCACACAGAGGUGUCUGAAAAGGCAGUUGGAGUUUUGUGUGAUGAAGAUCCUCCCCAAGGAGUAGCAAACAUUGUGUAGAUCUGAUAUCAUAGAAUAUGGAGUCUUCUGAUUUCUGGUUAAACUGGUAAGAGCAGAGUGCCCGCACAUAAACAGAGCUCUAAAUCUGACUGUGUUACUGGUGAAACAGGAGUGAUUACCUCCCACAUGUCUUUUCCUAAGGCUGCUUUUUCCUUGGUUCCUAGUUUCUUUACUGGUGUAUAACAGCCUGACUCCAUCAUAGGCAACAAUGUGAUGUCCAUUUUUACUGCAGCUGGAAGUUUCCUUUUUUUGAGGGCACACUUGUCUCCUUCCAUGGCACUGAUGGGUAGCCAUGAAGUGCUGCCCACCCUAAGCCCUAAGCAUGAGGUGUUCACACCAUGGGAAAGCCUGCAAGUACAGAAAGAGCAGUACAUAUCUGAGCUGCUUCUGAAAAGUGAAAACCCUACAUCUCUGGAAAGGAAAUGAAAGCAAACUUUCAGUCAUGGUCUCUGUUGGACUUACAGGAGCUCCUGUUCCACCCUAUAAAAAUCUAUCUAUGUGGUGCUGGAUUAAGGCUCCUCCUUAAUGAAGAUAGGAAACCAUUCUGUCAAAAUACACAAGAAACUCACUGCAGAGUCAUAUUCUUACAAGGUCCUUUCUGGCAAGCAAGAAUGCCACUAAAAAAGACUUUUCUGACCUUCACAGGCACAUUAGACUUUGGAUGUUCCUGCUUCCAUUUCUACCUCCAUCUCUCCUACUGAUUGGACUGAAAGCCCUGAGGGUUUUGGCUCUGCUUUGUCACAGCUCUCCUUGCAGUGUUGUAAACCCCAGCAAGAUGUAGGAGAUAUUGUAGACCCCAGCAAGAUGUAGGAGAUUUAGGAUGUAGCAGACCAUAUGUGUGCGUGGGGAUAGGUUGAGAGAUGAUUUAUUUUAAGGCCAAUGCAUUAUUUCCUGACAGUAACUAACAGGAGAGUUACACUCAAAAGAUAUUCUGGAAAGACUGACUUUUGCAGAGUUGAGAACACUGACUCACUCCUGCUGUCCUCUUAAUUUCCAGUGCAUCAUGCAGAGGUGAAGGAGGAGAAGGAAGGGAGUGAUGUCUUUCUUUUGCUACAAUUGCCUAAAAUACACCAAGACACUCCCUAAGAAAGAGAAGUUUAACUGACUUUCAUAUGAUCUUCUCAUACUAAAUCUAGAAUAGGUAGAAUUACAAAUGUCACCAGAGAUAAGUUUAGUUAAGACGCACAUACAAAGAUACACCUUCUCCAAAGAAGAGGUCUGUUUAAAUUUCCUAUAAAUGCCACAUUUCAUGUCUGCUGCUAAAUUAGUGCAUUUGCUGAUGGAAAUGCUCCCAUUUUCUUCCCUCACGUCUCACAGUGCAAGUGCUAUCCUAUCAUUGGGUUGCAUCACAUCAGAGAAAUGCAGAUGAAAUGAAUGCAGUAACAUUGGAAUACAGCUGUGUUUACAGCAAUGAAAACCUGAGGAAUUGCUUUAUUUGGGCAAUGGAAGAAGGAAUGUCGAUUUAAAAGAGCUAUUUGGAAUGGCUGGUGUUUUACUCUCACUUAGAUAAAUUAUUAAUUUUGUAUCUGUAUAAAAAAAAGGCAGUUUUACUCUCUUCAUAUCUAUAGGAAGACAAUUUGAUGGCAGUAUUUGGAAAUACUUUAGAUAACAUUGGAGGCAAAGAAAAAGGAUUCUAACACAAAUGAAUAAGGUGCCAAAUCUGUAACAGUAGUGAAUUCCUCACAAAUACUUUCACUGAUGCCUUAUGAACAAAAACCGGUCUCCUGGAAAAAUUUCAUUGAAAAAGUUGUUCAAGUACAAUCCAAUUAUUCAGAAAGGUUAUUAUGAAGUGCAAAGUUUUGAUAAGGUGUAUUUGGUAAAAAGUUAUGAUCUCCUCAUUGAAAAACAAAAUCUAACUGGGACUACAUUUGUGUAUUUGUCUGAAAACUAAGAUAUUGAAUUUGGAAGUAUCAUCCCAGAUAGCUGUACACCUAAGGGUGAAAAUUCCAAUUUGGCAUCUGAGCUGGGUCACAUCACCAGGCUAGUGCUUAUAUUUAGAGUUCCCCAAGACAUAAGCUUAGGAAUGCAGGGAAACUUAGCAAACCUGUCCCAAAAAAGAAGCAAGUCAGUGUUGUCAGGAUGAUUUUCCUUACCUUAGAAAUUAAAUUAGUCAUAAGCAUGCAAACAGUUAAGUAAAUGAAGAAUAAAAGCAACACAAGAAAAUAUACACAAAGAAAAAUGAUUGACAAGUGAUUCCAAUACUUCACAUUACAAACUCAAGAAAAGGCAACCUCAGCCUUAACUGCAGAGUCAUCAGCCUAGGCAGGAUUCUCUAAGUUUCAAAAGGCAAACUUCAAAGAGAAUUUGGAUAGAUCUCCAGAUGGGAACCUCAGCAUAAACAAGUAUUUGUUUCUCUAGUGAUAGGAGCAAAGGCAACACAGAGGGGGGUUGUUAUAGCACUGUUACAGCUAGGUACUGAAAUAUUGCUCAGUGUAGAAAAAUAUAUGUUAAUCCAUUUCCAGGGGAAAAAUGUCAGCUAUAUCCCAGUGGAAGGGAAAAAUACUAACAGCAAGUGGUAUUAGAAAUAAAUCAGGUGUAAACCGUCUGGCUACAGACUUCAGGAGAAGAAAAUAAUACACAUUAUGAGUUUAGUUUUUCUGCUGCUGCAAGGCCCUAGUAAGACAACCCCUAGGGUUUUAGGAUAUUUUAUUAGUUUCAGCUGUUAAAACCAAGGUUGGAGUGGCUGACAGAUUUCAAAGGAUUGAUGAUGAUGAUGAUGAGUAGAAAGCCAGAAGAAAUGAAGGUUGACUUCUUAUUUGAGAAAUUGUAAGAAGCUAAUAAAAAAAACCCUCAGAAUUAGUGGCAGACCUACGCAGAAAAUUAUUAUAUUCUCAGGAAUUCCCCCUUGCAAGCAAAUACCUGCAAAAAAGGCAAAUGUCUCCAUCUUCUUGACAGUGUUAGUAAAUCAUCUCAGCCCUACAGCUGCAGGCAUCCUGGGCAGCUGGUGCAAGGCUGGCUUUAGCAGCCAGGCUGUUUCACUGGGCUGUGGAACAGACCUUUGCUGCCUCGUUGACUCUUGAAAAAAUACUUUUUUAAUGGCAAUACAACACCCUUGCCUUCACAUUAUACUUCUUGAGCUAAGCUCCACCAUGCUUUGACUGUGUCUCAUUUGUCCAAAGAGUGUUUAAAGAGACAUUUCAAAAUGCAAAGUCUAAUAAAAUCUAAUAGCCACUAUUCAGUGAUGUGACCCAAAAAUUUUGAAUGAGAGAGAGAGAGACCCCAUGGUCAGUGGAGUACUGUUAAAAAUACAAUCUGCAUUAUGCAUUUAAAAUCAGAUGUUGAUAAUGUACUGUAUGACAGGGUCCUAGGUGGGAAAAGAAGGAAAAGCCUUCCUUCUCACAGUGCCAAUCUGCCUACUCACAAAAAUAAGAGACUGUACAAAAAAAAAAGCGGAGAAAGAAAACGUUCAGUCUGUUUUCCUAUUGAUAACACACAGUCUUUCCAAAAAGUCUGAGCAAGUGGCCUAAAUAAAAUUAAUAAUAAUUUCCGAUUAGAGGACUUUGCUGUAUUGUCUAUUUAUUUAUUUAUUUAUUUAUUUAUUUAUUUAUUUAUCUGUACAAACUCACAACCAGCAAUCAGGAAAGAGUCAAUGUCUUUAUUCCUAAUGUGGCAUAUUUUUUCCAGGUCAUGAAAUUAAGGUUAAUAUUUAAUCUUCUAUCAGUAAAUCUACCCAUACUAAACAUAUAAAGGUUAUUCCUGGAAAACACAACCUGGCACAGCCAUAAACUUACUGUGAUCAUUUGUAGGAGGAAAAGCUCACUGAUUGGAGAAUUUCACAGCAAUCAUGUGAAUAUACUAAUGCAAAUCCUUACUACAUUUAUUGUCACAGGUGAUGUUACAGAUCAGUAUUUGAAAUAUUUGACUUAGGAAUUUAAUACUCUCUCCUAUGGACUCUGUUUCACCAUCAUAGUAGUUGAAGGGCAUUGAUUUCUUCUGUAUACCCCUGCUUAUCUCAAGCUAUUUCAUUUUGCUUGUCAUAUUGAUUUUCGUGUUCAUAUAUUAUCUUACUGGAAGCUGGUAAUGAAUCAAUGUGGCCACCUAAAUUCAUGUUCUCUUGUAACCCCUGGAAAAGAGCUACUUAAAACCAUCUACAUCGAAAUGUACCGAGUAGCUGCUGUGCACAUCCAAACAAGGGACGACAAACUUGUCUUAACACAACUCACAGAGGGAAGGCCUCUGCAGUCUUUCUGUUAUGCGCAUGUAUUUUUAAAUGCCUGACAUGAUAAUAUGGAUUUAGAAGGAAAACACUGGAGCAAGCCAAAGAGACCUCAGUGCAGCCCUUCAUCCUAAGUAGUUCAGUCAUUCAUGGCUUCUUUCACAACCUCCUGCCUGUAAGUGAUGUGCCUUUCUCUGAAUCCCUUCUUUGCCUACCUUCAGACCAGGAACUAGCUCUUAUUCUCUGCGCAUAUUGCCCGCAAUGUGCCACUGUUAUCAGAAGGGUCUCAUUAGCAGGAAAGGGACUCCCAAAGUACUGAUAAAAGUAAAUGUUAAUUGUGCAAAACAAUGCCAAGACAGCUAUGAUAACAAAUUGUCAUUAUUUUUGCUUACUGCUCUUCUUACAUCUUUUGGUAAUGUUAAAAUUUAAUGAUUACUUCAUUCCCAUGGAUGCAUACAUUUAUCCAGCUGGUCUGCUGUAGUACAAAAGGAUAUUAAUGCAGCUUUCUGCUGUACAGAGACAGGUCUGGAUGAGAAAAGAUUUGUAGUUGAAACUGCUGCUUGAAACUAUUAACACAGAAAACUAAUUUCUACUUAAAGAUGCUUUAAAUGCAUAAUUGAGGAAAAAAAUACAACAUCACAAACACCUUAAAUUGACCAUCAGCUCAGUGACAAAAAACAGUAUGUUAAAUUAAAGGAUUUCUCCUAGGAGAUUUCAGAGAGCUAAAAGUCUGCUUGGCUGAAUAAAAUUAGAAGACGCAUUUGCUCAUUUGCGAGCUCUCCAACAUGAGAACCAACACUUUGUAUAUAUAAUGCUGAGUGGUUACUUGCAGUAAUUGCAUGUCUCUUCAAUAUGUAGACUCACGCAAACCUCACCAUGACCCUCACUGAAAUAAGGUUCAAGCAGACAAUUUUCACAGAGGCCUCCAGGGCCCCACAGCACAGGGCAGUGGAGCCUGCAGGUUCCUGGUUUUUGUCACCCACCUGUGUUUCCCAUGGGACAUUUCACCAACUGUGAACCAACUAUGGUUCACAUCUGAUUGUUCUGGCUACCCACUACAGAACUCCUCAGAUAGAAUAAAAAUUAAUUUCUAUGACUGCAUUGUCAGAGCAGCCUCCUGUGAAAAGCCAGCUUCAGAAAGACUUCAAGGUUUGAUUAGCAGAGAUUGAGCAUUCUCUCAUUUCCAUCUAAUUCACUAAGGGGCAGACAGCUAAAGGUUUUUCUCAGCCCUGAACAGAGCACAAACUCACUGGUAACAAACUGCUAGGGAUUACUUCGCUAGAAAACAGCAGCACCUCGGUGUUCCACUACGCCUCCACUUGUGCUGUUUACCAGCAAAUGCUCUCCUAAACAUGGACAGACAGGAUGAAACUCAUGCUGAAGGAUUACAGACAGCAAACUGCCAGAGAGGAACAAAUGCACAAAACCAGUAUGCCACCCCUUUAUACACUAAGAGCAGUGUAACCCAUCUGCCAGGGGCUGCUUCUGAGAGUGAAAAGGGCUCAGCCAUAUGAUGUGCCUUUAAACAUUCCAUCCCCAAGAGGAAUCCUUAAGUUAGCCUGCCUCGAGAUCCUCAUCAGGCACCUCCUCGGAGAGUAGAUUACAUUGGCUGGGCUGAGACCUUGUCCAACUCUACCUUUCAAAUGCACUCUGUCAGGUUCUUGGGAGAAGAAUUUACAUUCAUUCAAUAAUUCAUUCAUUCAAGCAGAAGGAAUAAACCACUUAUUUAAAAGCAAAAUCAGGUGAACAAAAGAAACAAAAGCUCCUAUAUUGAUUACCUUUACAAGCUGUUUUGACUUUAAAAUAGACUAAACAAACUAAAUCCUAAGAGCUAUCACGAGUCUUGCCAGCAUUGCAAUUAAAUUGUGAGUUGACAAUAUUUGGUUUUGUUAACUCUGACAUGGCUAAGUGAAGAAAAGAUUUGUUUUAUCUACUCAUAAGGUCUUCCCCAUUUACAAGAAAAAACGUGCAAUAAAUCUACCCUCUUCUUGUUUGAGUAUUUCUAUUUCCAAACUCUCAGUUAAGCUUCAAUCAGUGGGCCCUACAAUGAUGUGUCUGGACCAGCUACCAUCAUGAGUCACAACUGUGAGAGCAAUUCAAUAAGCAUCUCUUUUAUUCAGUGCCACAGGGACAUUUCAAAACCCCUACAGUUCCAGAGGUGCCGGCACCAGGAGCCCUGCCAUGUAAAGUCUGAGGACAUUCACAAGCUACAGCAGCAUUUGCACCAGUGGUCAGUGACCACUUGAAAAUACUUUCAUAUUUCUUCCAGAUAGUUUUACCAGAGGCCUCAUGAAAAUGAACUUGUUUGAGCAAAUAGUCUGUGAAGGUGCCUUAAGUAAUUGUAUUUUAGGCUGUGCUUAUAACUUUCAGUUGUACAGACUGCUUCCCAGUGACCUGCAAGCAGUGGCAGGUCUUAAUCCUAUUUCUGCUUGAAUGAGCUCCUGAAAAGUGCAGUUUUUAGUGCCAUCUAAUGUCUACCCAGACUGCAUUACCUCCUGCUGGUACAGUGUAUCAGACUAAUUCCAUUUAAGCCUGGAUUCUCCUGGACCUGAUGAUCCACAGCAGGAGUCCUGGUUCAUUACCAGUUGCCCGCCCCCUUUACAGGAUUUUCCCAGCUAAAUCCUUCCCAUCUCAGCAUCACUCACCCUGCACCCUGAGGGUCUCCAGGUGCCACUGUCUCCUGUGACUGCUGGCAAGUGGUGCAGAGGCAAAAGGUCAGAAGGACCAGCUGUGUUUUCUCAGACACUGGGGCCGGCAGUCAGCUCUAAUGCUUUCUGGAUCCAGCAGCUGAGCUUCUAGGAGAGGGGCUGGGAGAGGCUGAGUGGGUGUGAGUGACUCUUUUGGGGGUCCAGGUGGUAGUAGCAAACUAACUCUGCUGCACUGGGGGAGGCCCUGGGGGAGGUCUCAUAGCAAUGGUCCUGCAGGAGAAGGUUGAGGGGUAUUGCCAUGGCUGUGUGGUACCUGUUCCUUGGUGGCUUGUGGGUGGCACAAUUCAUGGGGCAACAUUAAGGAGUGAUCUUUUCCUCUUCUCACCAGCCAGAUUUGGAGUGACAGGAGAAAAGUCCACCUGGUACAGCCAUCAAAGACAGAGGCCACAAAUCCCUGGUCUCUGGCAAAAGGGAGAAAUGGACUCAGGUAUCCCC